CCUACGGGUGGCAGCAGUGAGGAAUAUUGGUCAAUGGACGCAAGUCUGAACCAGCCAUGCCGCGUGCAGGAAGACGGCUCUAUGAGUUGUAAACUGCUUUUGUACGAGGGUAAACGCAGAUACGCGUAUCUGUCUGCAAGUAUCCUACGAAUAAGGAUCGGCUAACUCCGUGCCAGCAGCCGCGGUAAUACGGAGGAUUCAAGCGUUAUCCGGAUUUAUUGGGUUUAAAGGGUGCGUAGGCGGUCGGAUAAGUUAGAGGUGAAAUCCCGAGGCUCAACUUCGGAAUUGCCUCUGAUACUGUUCGGCUAGAGAGUAGUUGCGGUAGGCGGAAUGUAUGGUGUAGCGGUGAAAUGCUUAGAGAUCAUACAGAACACCGAUUGCGAAGGCAGCUUACCAAGCUACUUCUGACGUUGAGGCACGAAAGCGUGGGGAGCAAACAGGAUUAGAUACCCCAGUAGUC
rnacentral:rRNA from 1 species